GGUCGCGAGGAGGCCAGACGCAGCACUGCAGAAGAGGACACGUGGGCUGGCAUCUCCAUGGCUGUCUUCGCUCUUCCUCGUCUCUCUCCUGCUGGUCUCUGGCUCCAGCACUCCUCUCCCAGUGCCUCAGCGCUCUCAGCCCUCCCCUGCACUUGGGCACAGCCCCGGAAACUCCCUUCUACAGGAACCUGAGCUCGGCUCUCCUCCUGCAGUGACUGAACAGGUGCCCUGCCUUUCACUUGGCCUGGGAUGAGCCUCGACAUGCUGGCCCCUGGGAGCAGGGACUCAUCUGCAUGCACAGGCCGAGGGCACCAGGUAUAAGCCUCCCACUUGGCUCUACUCAACAGCUUCAGACCAGAGGCAGUGACAACCCAGAGAUCUGCCCUCAGACUGGGGCCAGAGCUGGCUCAAGAGAAGGGGCUGCUAUCCAGCUCCCAUGGAUACUCACAGGCCCAGCUUCCUGAAGGAAGGAUCAACACCCAACUCCAGAGAGCGGCAGGAGAGGCAGGGGGCCGGACCAGGAACCCCUCCUCUGCCUUGAAAGGAAGCCAGGCCAAGACUCCCUGACUUGAAUGGUGCCCUCUCUCUGUUCUCUGCAUGUGGCCGGAGGAGGCUGAACUGACAGCUGGCUCCUACCUGGAGGCUGAGAUUCUCCCCUGAGCUGAAGAGACAGUGAAGGGUAUCUAGGGAUACCCCACCCCACUUACAUGUAAGCCUUGUAGUUGUUGCCUAUCUUCUGGACCCGGAUGUCAUACUUGGCA